rnacentral:rRNA from 1 species
ACGCUCGACACCUACGGGAGGCAGCAGUUGGGAAUAUUGGACAACGGAGGAAACUCUGAUCCAGUGACGCCGCGUGAAGGAAGAAGGUCUUCGGAUUGUAAACUUAUUUUGUCAGGGAAGAAAAAUGCUGUACCUGAAGAAAAAGCACCGGCUAACUACGUGCCAACAGCCGCGGUAAUCUGAGCGGGCUGGCAAGGC